rnacentral:tRNA from 1 species
GGGCGAUUGGCUCAGCCUGGUUAGAGCGCACGGUUCACAUCCGUGAGGUCACUGGUUCAAAUCCAGUAUCGCCCA